rnacentral:rRNA from 1 species
UACGAAGGGGGCUAGCGUUGCUCGGAAUCACUGGGCGUAAAGGGUGCGUAGGCGGAUCUGCAAGUCGGGGGUGAAAUCCCGAGGCUCAACCUCGGAACUGCCUUCGAUACUGCGGGUCUCGAGUCCGGGAGAGGUGAGUGGAAUUCCUAGUGUAGAGGUGAAAUUCGUAGAUAUUAGGAAGAACACCAGUGGCGAAGGCGGCUCACUGGCCCGGUACUGACGCUGAGGCGCGAAAGCGUGGGGAGCAAACAGG